rnacentral:rRNA from 1 species
UACGGAGGGUCCGAGCGUUAAUCGGAAUUACUGGGCGUAAAGCGCACGCAGGCGGUUUGUUAAGCUAGAUGUGAAAGCCCCGGGCUCAACCUGGGAAUUGCAUUUAGAACUGGCAGGUUAGAGUCUUGGAGAGGGGAGUGGAAUUCCAGGUGUAGCGGUGAAAUGCGUAGAUAUCUGGAGGAACAUCAGUGGCGAAGGCGACUCCCUGGCCAAAGACUGACGCUCAUGUGCGAAAGUGUGGGUAGCGAACAGG